UCCUAGUGAUUACUGACUUUAGUGCCUAA
rnacentral:piRNA from 1 species